rnacentral:lncRNA from 1 species
GAAGCUGCACGGUCAUGAUAUUUGUUACACUGAACCUGACAAUCAUCGUCACUUGUACAAGAUCCCCAAUCUUCGUGAACAAAAAGCCAACAUUGCCCAGCUGUCAACUCUGCAUGAGUUAAAAUAUUUAAAUUAAGAGUUGAUGAGUCAUUAACAAAAACGAUUAAAAUCAAACAAAAUGAAGAUUCUUUUGUUUACUUCAUAUUUUUCAAUUUAUUCACAAAUGUAUUUCGCUUGAUGAAUUCAAGAAGUUACAAGAAAACCACUAACACCUCUAAAUACUUUUUUUUAAAUAGUUUUAAACAAUCCAUUGGAUAAUGAAUUUUAAUGAAUGAUCAUAAUCAUUAAAAAUAUUUGACAUUAUAAGUUUAAUUAAAGAACAUGAUGAGAAGUAUUGUCAUUAAUUUGGUAGAAAUAAAAAAUGUUUACAGGCAUAAUUAAUUAUUUUCAUUGAUUAGAAAAAUAAAUGAGCUUUGAUAUUAUAAAUUUAGUACUAACUUUUGCUAAUUUAAUUAAAAGAAAAUACCCACCUAGUGAUGCAAAGGCGAAGACCAUGAAAGUCAUAAGGACAAAGAUUUGUGAUGUUGUCAUUUUUGCUUCACUCAAAUGCAUUAAAGUCAC